UAAUAGGCAUGUCAAUGAGGUCAGUGUCAGAUAACAUUUGAUAAUCUCGAUACUGCACCAGUUAAAUUAUUAUUAUCAAGUCGAGCAGCUCGUUGAAACAUUUGUCUGGCAUGGUGUGGUUUGCCCAUUAAGCGGUACGCUAUGCCACAAAAUAUUGGUAAACACAGUAAAUCAUAUGAUUGAAGUGUAAUGCCUCUAGUUAUUGAUUCAAGCUGUUGUAAAGAAUUUCUACAUGAUGUUAUGUCGUGUAGAUGGUAGUAACAUAAAAAGUUAAGGAAAUGUCCAAAUGCUAAAGGAUAAUAGAUAUGUAUUACGUGUGUAGCUGUCAUUUGUAAUUCUACUGGAAUUAAAUAUGAGUUCGAUUUAAAAUGAACAGGAUUAAUUGAUAAUGC
rnacentral:lncRNA from 1 species